rnacentral:lncRNA from 1 species
AUGAACAAGAUCCGAAAGUUUUUCCGAGGAAGUGGGAGAGUCCUGGCAUUUAUAUUUGCAGCUUCUGUCAUCUGGCUGCUCUUUGACAUGGCAGCUCUCCGCCUCUCAUUCAGCGAGAUCAACACUCAGAUCCUGAAGGAAGACAUUGUUCGGAGGGAGCGGGUAGGGUUCAGAGUUCAGUCAGACCAGGUAAAGAGCCUUGACAGCAGCAGGACGGAAAUGAAGCCCCUACCAAAGGGACACGGGAAGGGCAUGUGGGGCAAAGAGAAUUUUAGGAAGACUGAGGAGAGUAAGCUCAAGGUCGAGGAUGAUUUGGACCAAACCCAAAAGGAAAGAAAAGUACAGAACGCCCCGGGAAGAGGCAAGGUUGCGCCUUUGUGGCAUCCUGCAUAUAGGCAGACUCACCCAGUGACUUUUACCAAGUGGGAGACAGAGGGGCGAGACAUCCAACCUGCAGUUUCCUCUCACCCCAUGACACCAGAGCAAACGACAAUUCAGGGGCUUGAGAAAACUCCAUUCAUUGCAGCAAGGGGAACUCCACUGGCCAAAAUAUCUGUGCACACAGGACCUGUCAGUAUGAACAAGCAGGGCCCGAAGAGCCAUGGUCUCAACAGUGACACAUCAAAGCAAGCAGCUGAGAGGUACCCGGAUGUGACCACCAGUCUUAGUAGAUCAAAGCAGCAGUACCAGGCAGGAGUAAAUAAAAGGACCUACUCUGCCAGCCCACCAGUGCCAAGACCCAGGGAAGCCAUAGCCUUAAAUAAAACUGAGACUCAGAGCAAAGAACUGAAUGCAAAUAAACACAAAGCCAAUAAGAACCUUACCUUUUCCAAGUUCAUUGCCAAUUCAGAUCGCUUAAAGAAGCCAUCUAUUAAUAAGCUACAGUGGGGAGGCUUGCUGAAGGAUGACGGAGGCAAGGUGGCUGAUGGGAAGAAACUCAAUUUGUCUGAAAGCCAUGUUGUAAUUAUAACCAAGGAGGAGGAGCUAAAGACAGAUACCAAAGACAUCCCCAAUUCCAACACCACAACUACAUCUACUAUAGUAUCGGGCAAAAGCCAAGAGAAACACAUUGGCAUGAAGAGCAAUGAGGCAUCUUUCUCUUCACUUGCUCUACAGAGAGCAGCAGUGUCUCAAACCAGUCAAGCCUUAACUCGGGGACAGGAGCUAGGAAGGACCAACUUAACUGCCAAGACCCGGCCUGCACGACUCAACCAAAGUCAGACAAAAGCCCUUUCACCUGAAGAUGACGGAAUGCACCGUGUGUUAAGAAUUGAUGUGACGCUUUCUCCAAGGGACCCCAAAGCUCCAGGUCAGUUUGGACGUCCAGUCGUUGUUCCCCACGGAAAAGAGAAGGAGGUGGAAAGAAGAUGGAAAGAAGGAAACUUCAAUGUCUACCUCAGCGAUUUGAUCCCAGUGGACAGAGCCAUUGAAGACACAAGACCUGCUGGGUGUGCAGAGCAACUUGUUCACAAUAACCUCCCAACCACCAGCGUCAUCAUGUGCUUUGUGGACGAGGUGUGGUCCACUCUCCUGAGGUCUGUGCAUAGCGUCCUCAACCGCUCUCCUCCCCACCUCAUCAAGGAGAUUCUACUAGUGGAUGACUUCAGCACCAAAGACUACCUAAAAGAUAACUUGGAUAAAUACAUGUCUCAGUUUCCAAAAGUUCGGAUUCUUCGCCUCAAAGAGAGACAUGGCUUAAUAAGAGCCAGGCUGGCAGGGGCACAAAAGGCAACAGGUGAUGUGUUGACAUUCUUAGAUUCUCACGUGGAAUGUAACAUUGGCUGGUUGGAACCUCUCCUGGAAAGAGUUUACUUAAGCAGAAAAAAAGUAGCCUGUCCAGUAAUUGAAGUCAUCAAUGAUAAGGAUAUGAGUUACAUGACAGUGGACAACUUUCAAAGAGGCAUAUUUGUGUGGCCAAUGAACUUUGGUUGGAGAACAAUUCCUCCAGACGUUGUUGCAAAAAACAAAAUUAAAGAAACUGAUAUAAUAAGAUGUCCCGUCAUGGCAGGUGGAUUAUUUUCUAUUGAUAAAAAUUACUUUUUUGAACUCGGAACAUAUGAUCCUGGGCUCGAUGUUUGGGGUGGAGAAAAUAUGGAGCUCUCUUUCAAGGUGUGGAUGUGUGGUGGUGAAAUUGAGAUCAUUCCCUGUUCCCGAGUGGGACACAUAUUCCGGAAUGACAAUCCCUACUCCUUCCCCAAAGACCGGAUGAAGACGGUGGAGCGGAACUUGGGGCGGGUGGCUGAGGUCUGGCUCGAUGAGUACAAGGAGCUCUUCUACGGCCACGGGGAUCACCUCAUAGACCAAGGGUUAGACGUCGGAAACCUUACCCAGCAGCGGGAACUUCGAAAGAAGCUAAAAUGCAAAAGCUUCAAGUGGUACUUGGAGAAUGUUUUUCCAGACUUGAAGGCUCCCAUUGUGAGGGCGAGUGGUGUGCUUAUUAAUGUGGCCUUGGGUAAAUGCAUUUCCAUCAGAAACACCACAGCCAUUCUGGAAGACUGUGAUGGGAGCAGCAAGCUUCAACAAUUUAAUUACACCUGGUUAAGGCUUAUUAAACACAGAGCGUGGUGCUUAGCUCCUGUGCCUGAUAACGGGGCCCUGAGGCUGCACCUUUGUGAUAACAGAAACAAAGGGCUAAGAUGGCUGCAUAAAUCAACAUCAGUGGUCCGUCCAGAACUGGUGAACCACAUUGUUUUCGGAAACCAUCAUCAGUUGUUAUGCUUGGAAGGAAGUUUUACUCAGAAGACCCUGAAAGCUGCUCCUUGUGACCCAGCAAAGCCAAAUCAAAAGUGGAAAUUUGAAAACUAUUAUGAAGACUGA